CCUACGGGUAGCAGCAGUGAGGAAUAUUGGUCAAUGGGCGGGAGCCUGAACCAGCCAAGUCGCGUGAGGGAAGACGGUCCUAUGGAUUGUACACCUCUUUAGGCGGGGAGCAAUGCCGGGCACGCGUGCCCGGAGGGAGAGUACCCGCAGCAUAAGCAUCGGCUAACUCCGUGCCAGCAGCCGCGGUACUACGGAGGAUGCGAGCGUUAUCCGGAUUUCGUGGGUUUAAAGGGUGCGUAGGCGGAUGUUUAAGUCAGCGGUAAACUGUCCGGGCUCACGCCGGGCCGGCCGUUGAAACUGGGGAUCUUGAGUGGGCGAGAAGUAUGCGGAAUGCGAGGUGUAGCGGUGAAAUGCAUAGAUAUCUCGCAGAACUCCGAUUGCGAAGGCAGCAUACCGGCGCCCGACUGACGCUGAGGCACGAAAGCGUGGGGAUCGAACAGGAUUAGAUACCCGUGUAGUC
rnacentral:rRNA from 1 species